GUGCUUGCUUCAGCAGCACAUGUACUAAAAAUAGAAUGAAAGAAAGAAGAUUAGCAUGGCUCCUACACAAAAUUGAUACCCAAAUUUGUAAAGUGUUCCAUAUUUUU
ensembl:snRNA U6 U6 spliceosomal RNA